rnacentral:rRNA from 1 species
AUGGCUCAGGAUGAACGCUAGCGGCAGGCCUAACACAUGCAAGGUCGAGGGGUAACAGGGUAGCAAUAUCGCUGACGACCGGCGCACGGGUGAGUAACGCGUAUGCAACCUUCCUUAACUGGGGGAUAGCCCGGAGAAAUUCGGAUAAUACCCAUAACAUUGCGAGAAGGCAUCGUUUUUGCAAUUAAAGCUCCGGCGGUUAAAGAUGGGCAUGCGUGCCAUUAGCUAGUUGGUGAGGUAACGGCUCACCAAGGCUACGAUGGUUAGGGGGUCUGAGAGGAUGAUCCCCCACACUGGUACUGAGACACGGACCAGACUCCUACGGGAGGCAGCAGUGAGGAAUAUUGGGCAAUGGGCGCAAGCCUGACCCAGCCAUGCCGCGUGAAGGAAUGAAUGCCCUAUGGGUUGUAAACUUCUUUUGUACGGGACGAAACUCCUGGUCGUGACCGGGAUUGACUGUACCGUGCGAAUAAGCAUCGGCUAACUCCGUGCCAGCAGCAGC